CCACCACCACCACUACCUCCUCUACCUGCUACUGCAAGUCCUACAACAACAGCAUCUACACCAUCAUCUACACCGGGAAAUCAGCAACUUAUCUCACAAGAGCUGCGGCCCAUCUCAUUUGGAAAGACAGCCAGCAGACGCUACAGUACAGUUCAGACGUCAGCUUCCCGCCAAUAAAAGAUUACACCUGUGACGCCCUCUACCUGCAGCCUGUGAGUGUGGUCGCUGGAACAUUUUACCUGAGCGGUACCGUCGAUAUAUCAGAUAAGGACAGCGUCACUUGGCCGAGAAAGAUCGAUUUUGAAAUCAAACUGAGUGGAGCGAGCACCUAUGACGCUGCCUGUCGUGUUGACAUUGGCAAAGAUGGCUGCCCCACCACCAGUGGCGCCAGCUGUACAUGUGACACGUUCCAAAAUGGCGUCUACACAAUCAGGUACCAGGGCGUGGCUCUGUCCAAAUAUUCCUACGCUAGUGCCAGACUGGCGUGGAGCGACAAGUUCUACAACUCUAUCUACAGUCUACCGCAGUCAUUCCCUUACAUCAAAG